rnacentral:rRNA from 1 species
UACGGAGGGUGCGAGCGUUCUUAGGAAUUAUUGGGCGUAAAGGGCGCGCAGGCGGUUGAAAAAGGCAGGUGUGAAAGCCCUUGGCUUAACCAAGGAAGUGCAUUUGAUACUAUUUGACUUGAGUAUGGGAUAGGGAAGUGGAAUUGCUGGUGUAGAGGUGAAAUUCGUAGAUAUCAGGAGGAACACCGGUGGCGAAAGCGACUUCCUGGACCAAUACUGACGCUGAGGCGCGAAGGCGUGGGUAGCAAACAGG